GUAGGGAAUAUUGCGCAAUGGAGGCAACUCUGACGCAGCCAUGCCGCGUGCAGGAAGAAGGCGCUACGCGCUGUAAACUGCUUUUAACCGGGAAGAAACCCCAGGACGUGUCCUGGGUUGACGGUACCGGAGGAAUAAGCACCGGCUAACUUCGUGCCAGCAGCCGCGGUAAUACGAAGGGUGCAAGCGUUAUCCGGAUUCAUUGGGUUUAAAGGGUGCGUAGUCGAAGCGUUAAGUCAGUGGUGAAAUCCUGCAGCUUAACUGUAGACUUGCCAUUGAUACUGGCGCUCUUGAGUGCGCUUGAAGUGGGCGGAAUGUGCCGUGUAGCGGUGAAAUGCUUAGAUAUGGCACAGAACACCAAUUGCGAAGGCAGCUCACUAAGGCGAUACUGACGCUGAGGCACGAAAGCGUGGGGAUCGAACAGGAUUAGAUACCCCGGUAGUCC
rnacentral:rRNA from 1 species